CUUAUUCAACACCUUCAUAACAAGUGUCUUUCAUAUUUGGAAGAGCACAUAUGUGUUUUAACCUGUUGCAAAUGCAUCUUAGCUCAUUCCUAAUGGGCAAUGGCCUCCAAUCCUCUCUUAGGACUCCCUAAGUAUUUUAAUGAAUCCAUCUUCCCCUACACAUGCUGCAUGUUUUCCAGAGGAAGCAAAGAUGCCAUAUUGCAUCACCGAGCCAUCAUCAUUCAACACAAGUCAGUAUGUGCAGGUGGCAGAUAUCACAGCACAUAGGAGAAGGAUAGCCCUGGAAGGACUGCCGCUUUUCUUCAGGGAAGAGUCUACAUGCCUUUUCAGGAAAUGCCUGAUGCUGUGAGGAGAGUUGGAUUUGUUGGUGAGAUGCCACAGGCAUCUAAUGUUGAAAAAGAAAUUAAGUCAUGGCUACGAAACGCGAGAGACCAGGGUGGCGGACGACGGCAGAGGUUACUACAGCAAAACAGAAACCCUGAUGCUAA